rnacentral:rRNA from 1 species
GUAGGUGGCAAGCGUUGUCCGGAAUUAUUGGGCGUAAAGCGCGCGCAGGCGGGUUCUUUAAGUCUGGUGUGAAAGCCCACGGGCUCAACCGUGGAGGGUCAUUGGAAACUGGAGAACUUGAGUACAGAAGAGGAAAGCGGAAUUCCACGUGUAGCGGUGAAAUGCGUAGAGAUGUGGAGGAACACCAGUGGCGAAGGCGGCUUUCUGGUCUGUAACUGACGCUGAGGCGCGAAAGCGUGGGGAGCAAACAGGAUUAGAUACCCUGGUGGUCCACGCCGUAAACGAUGAGUGCUAAGUGUUAGGGGGUUUCCGCCCCUUAGUGCUGCAGCUAACGCAUUAAGCACUCCGCCUGGGGAGUACGGCCGCAAGGCUG